rnacentral:misc_RNA from 1 species
GGAAGUAAAAGCGUAACAAGGUUUCCGUAGGUGAACCUGCGGAAGGAUCAUUAUUGUAUAGCCGAGGUGCGAGGGCUGUCGCUGACCCGAAAGGUCGUGCACGCCCGAGUGCCCUCACACACAUCCAUCUCACCCCUAUGUGCACCACCGCGUGGGUCCCCCUUUGGCUUGUUCGGAGGGGGGCUUACGUUUUCACACAAACUUUGUAUGCAGUGUAGAAUGUAUUUUUUGUUUUGCGAUCACGCAAUCAAUACAACUUUCAACAACGGAUCUCUUGGCUCUC